CCGAAACUUUGUCUUGGAAUGAGCUGUUUGAAGUUGAGUUGCAGGUUCCUACCUGGGGUGUAUGGGAGAGAACUCAUACCUGCAUUGGCCCUAUACUCAUUUAUUCUCUCCCAAACCGUGUGAAGAUAAAGAAAAACUCACUGGAAGAAUAGCCACGUGCCAACUCUUUCAAUUAAUCUUGUAGUUUCAAAGCCCCUAUAUCUAAUAUUGUUAAAUUUCCUGAUGGAAUAAACACGAGAAAAAGCUGGACUCAUCUCAGUAUCCUUCCUUUUUCUUCAAACCUUGGAUACUAGAUGUCAUGCGCUCUUGGCAUUUCCCAGAUGCUUUCUUAGAGAUUUUUUUUAAUCUUGAUGUUGAC
rnacentral:lncRNA from 1 species